rnacentral:rRNA from 1 species
UACGUAGGUGGCAAGCGUUAUCCGGAUUUACUGGGUGUAAAGGGCGUGUAGGCGGGAAAGCAAGUCAGAUGUGAAAACCAUGGGCUCAACCUGUGGCCUGCAUUUGAAACUGUUUUUCUUGAGUUCUGGAGAGGCAGACGGAAUUCCUAGUGUAGCGGUGAAAUGCGUAGAUAUUAGGAGGAACACCAGUGGCGAAGGCGGUCUGCUGGACAGCAACUGACGCUGAGGCGCGAAAGCGUGGGGAGCAAACAGG